CUUUCCUUGAGGUGGAGGGUUUGCAACAACAAAGCUUGCGUUGAGGAGAUGGACACUGGAUUAGCUGGAGAGGAAACGUUUGGAGUAGAAGAGUCGCUGGAGAGGAAUCAUGAUGGCAUUUAACGCUGGAGAUUCAGAAAAGAGAAAGUCAUACAGGUUUAAAACAACAAUGAGGGAAGCUUUAAAACGCUAAUGCAACAAAUGUCUUGGUUACGUAUGUAACCUUGGUUCCCUGAGUGAGAACUCCACACAGCGUGAUGCCGCAAUGGGAACACGUCAGUGAUCACGUGGUCUGAAGCCCUUAUACAAUUGCGCCAAUUCCUUGGGUGGACGCAAGGCCAAACGAGGUCUCAACACAACAACUGAUAACCCUGGCACAACAUCCAUACACAAAAGAUUGAUCAUCAGGGCAUGCCAUGCCACCACCAUCUGAUUUUCAUCCAGCACUGAAAAGGUCUUGCAUGCAACAUGCCCAGGGGAAUGACAGCGGAAAAGCCCCAACAGCCUGUGAAAUGUUCUCGCAGGGAUAACACGCCCCACUCUGAACAUCGCUAGACACUGGCGUAAUGACUGAACGUGAGCUGGAGACAGGCAUGCCCAAAUCACCAGCGAGUCCAGCACCACACCUAGAAACAAAGUCUGUUGUCUUGGUAACAGGACGCUCUUGUCUAGGUUGACUCAGGGGAUUCCUGUGUCCAUUCGCACUCCAUCUUCUCAAGCAAAGAGCCGAAAUCCCAAACUGCUUUAAGCUCACAGAGCUCCAUAUUAAGAGGCCAAAGAACUGGAACAACUGGGGAUAGCGUCUUGUGGAGAGAAAAUGCGAGCCUCGAUGAAGCGCCAUUGUCCCGGUCAGUCCUUUGCAAUGCAGAGAGCCGCAUAUGAAAUUGUUCUGAAGUUACACUGUUUUCAAUGACAUCCUUACAUGUUGCCACUCAAAAAGGGAGAAAAUCAAUCCUUGCUUCGACUUGAGUCACUGGAAACUUCACAGGCUUAGACAAACGCAUGCACUGAAGAAAAUCUGAGGGGUGGCACUGUGGGCUGGCGCUUAUAAGGAGCCCAUGAUUUAGCUCCUUAUGGGCAUCACUUAAGCGCCAUCAGCCACUGAAUUGGCGUGACUGUAUAAGGGCAUCAGACCAUGUGAUCACUGAUGUGUACCCAUUGUGCCAACACGCAGUGUAGAGUUCCUACGAAAGGGAAAUAAAGAGCAAAUGAUGCACAUUAGUUUCAUAACUGAUUCUUUAUCUAUGUAUUUGAGCAUUGUUGUGCUGCCUCAGAAACUUAUAGUAAAUGCAGGUUUGUCACACUACCAGUUGCCUGAAAAUCGGCUAGCUUUAUCACUAUUCUUCACCAACAGUAGCCUACAAGAAAUAAGUACACUACAAACUAAAUUGUUCAGUCAACAUUCACAAUUGGCUUCUGGCACUAUUCUGAUUAACCAUCAACAAUGAAAAUCAGGGCUUAAAGAAAAUCUUGAGUUUCCCAGUGGAUAUUAUGACAUUAUGGUUUCGUCUCGUAAAUACAAUAAUUCUGACAAUACUUGAAGGGAGCAAUUGUCCACAUAUAGAGAUAAAAUUCAGGAAGUUCUCACACACAUACAUCCCAUGAUAUAUCAACUGAUUCUGAAACUACAGAAAGAUAUACUAUGAAUUCUAAUACUGCUUCUGAUUUAUAUAUACUGUACAUGCAAAUGUUAUUAUGUUCGGCAUGGUCUAUAGCUACUGGC